UACGGAGGGUGCGAGCGUUGUCCGGAAUCACUGGGCGUAAAGGGCGCGUAGGCGGCCUGAUAAGUCGGGGGUGAAAUCCUGCGGCUUAACCGCAGGGCUGCCUUCUAAACUGUCAGGCUAGAGCACAGUAGAGGCAGGUGGAAUUCCCGGUGUAGCGGUGGAAUGCGUAGAGAUCGGGAAGAACAUCAGUGGCGAAGGCGGCCUGCUGGGCUGUUGCUGACGCUGAGGCGCGACAGCGUGGGGAGCGAACAGG
rnacentral:rRNA from 1 species